GACGAACGCUGGCGGCGUGCUUAACACAUGCAAGUCGAACGGAAAGGCCCUGCUUGCAGGGUACUCGAGUGGCGAACGGGUGAGUAACACGUGGGUGAUCUGCCCUGCACUUCGGGAUAAGCCUGGGAAACUGGGUCUAAUACCGGAUAGGAGCCAUUUUUAGUGUGAUGGUUGGAAAGUUUUUUCGGUGUAGGAUGAGCUCGCGGCCUAUCAGCUUGUUGGUGGGGUAAUGGCCUACCAAGGCGGCGACGGGUAGCCGGCCUGAGAGGGUGGACGGCCACAUUGGGACUGAGACACGGCCCAGACUCCUACGGGAGGCAGCAGUGGGGAAUAUUGCGCAAUGGGCGCAAGCCUGAUGCAGCGACGCCGCGUGGGGGAUGACGGCCUUCGGGUUGUAAACUCCUUUCGCUAGGGACGAAGCUUUUUGUGACGGUACCUAGAUAAGAAGCACCGGCUAACUACGUG
rnacentral:rRNA from 1 species